GACUAAGCAUGUAGUACCGAGGAUGUAGGAAUUUCGGACGCGGGUUCAACUCCCGCCAGCUCCACCA
rnacentral:tmRNA from 1 species